GGACUACUCUGUGGAUGUAUGAAAAACCACUGAAUUGCAGUUUAAGGCCACAUUCCAAUCUCAUGAGAGAAGAGCCCCUAGUUCUCAGGACUUUAACCCUCUUCCUGCCAGCACCCCCAGGCCAGUGCUGAGGGCUGACAAGUUGUCUAAAAGGGCAGGAGGACUUACUCCUGACAUGCAUCUGCCACCCAAACCAUCACAAUAGCCUUCCGCCUUCUCAGUGGGAGUACGAGUGACCCUGCAGCAGAAGGCAGCAGGAGGUGGUGACAAGAAUACACGUCUGGCCCUAAAACCUGGGUCAGUCACAUCCUGGCUGCCAUUCACCAGCUAUAUGAUUUUAGGAAAGUGGAUUCACCUCUGAGCUGCAGAUUCCUCAUCAAUAAAAUGAAGACAAGAACACCCACCCUUAGUAUUUGGGUAUUUAGACUGUUUCCAUGUUUUUUUUAUUUCUUUUAUCAUAUUCUUGGCAUUACGAGUUUAGCAUUCAAGGUUCUGACCAAUAAGUGAUCCCAGGGGUGUUCAUGAAAAUCCCCGGGGAAAGCUUUUACAAAAUAAAGAACGGAGUCUAUUGAGCUGGAA
rnacentral:lncRNA from 1 species